ensembl:lncRNA
AUUUUUAGUUGUGGGUCCUUCUAGUUGUGGGAUGUGGGGUGCCGCCUCAGCAUGGCCUGACAAGCGGUGCCGUGUCCGCACCCAGGACUUGAAUCAGCAAAACCCCGGGCCGCCGAAGCAGAGCAUACGCGCAAACUUAACCACUUGGCCACAGGGCCAGCCCCCUAUAGGGGAUUUUAAUAGGCCUCAGUGUCAUAAUAUGCAAAAUGUCCAGAAUACAAUACAGAAUUACUCUCAACAAAGGGCCAGGGAAAUCUCUAAAGAGAAAAGAAAAUUAACAUGCCAACUUUAAUAUGUUAGCAUAAUCAGAAAAACAUUAGAGCUUUUUAUAGCUCUAAUUAUUACAGCUGUACUCCAUGAAGGGCAGAUGCUCUUGAACUACAAGGUAUAGAAUUUAAAAAUAACUGAAAUGAGAGCUGGCCCCACAGCUGAGUGGUUAAGUUCGCGCACUCCACUUCAGCGGCCUGCGGUUCGUGGGUUCAGCUCUUGGACAUGGACCUACACACCGCUCAUCAGGCCACGCUGUGGCGGCGUCCCACACAGAAGAACUAGAAUGACCUAUAACUGGGAUAUACAACUGUGUACUGGGGCUUUGGGGAGAAAAAAAAUGAGAAAUUUAGUGGAUGGACAGAAAAAUGUUUGGAAACAGAAACAAACUAAGCCUCAGGGACUAGUGGGACAGUAUAAAAACCUCUAACGAAUGUGUUAAUGGAUUCCCAGCAAAAGAAGAAAGACGUUGUAAAAAACCCUUUUUUUAAGAAAUAACGGUUGAGGGGCCGGCCCCGUGGCUGAGUGGUUAAGUUUGCACGCUCUGCUUCGAUGGCCCAGGGUUUUGCCUGUUUGGAUCCUGGGUGUGGACAUGGCACUGCUCAUCAAGCCAUGCUGAGGUGGUGUCCCACAUGCCACAACUGGAAGGACCCACAACUAAAAAUACACAACUAUAUACCAGGGGGCUUUGGGGAGAAAGGGGAAAAAAAAAAAAAAGAAUGGUUGAAAAUGUCCCAAAUCUGGCAAUAGAUAUAAAUUUAAAGACUGAUAAAGUUCAAUAAACCCCAAAUAGACAACCUCAAAGAAAACCUUAUCAAGACGCACCAUUGACUGCUGAAACUAAAGAUUUUUUAUCUUGAAAGCAGCCAAAGAAAAGUGACUCAUAUAUAAAGUAACAAUUUGAAUAACUACCAAUUUAUCAUCAGAAACCACAGAGCCCAUUUGACUGGAAAGUUCUAAAGGCUGAAAGUAACUCAGUCUAGAAUCCUAUACCCAUUAAAACUAUCAGAAAUGCAGAUGAAAUAAAAGUAUUCUUAGGUGAAGGGAAACAGAAUUCUUAACCAGUGGAGCUGCUCAGAAAGAAAUGCGAAAGGAGGUUCUCCAGGUGGAAGGUGGAUAAUAGCCGAGAGGAUCUCAGAACUGCAGGCAUGAAGAAAGAGAUCAGCAGAAAUGUCAAUUUUCCGUGUGUCCUACCACAAUUAAAAAAAGAGUUUCAUCUGGAAGGUGAGCUCAACACCGACAGACUGCCCCGGCGCGGCCACAGGGAGAAGUUCAUGAGGCUCUCAGACUGGAGCGGGCGAGCUGCUGCUUCAGUGGCUUCCUCUGCCAAGGACAGUGGAGCUUAACCCUUGCUCCCUUGAGGCUCCCUGGACUCUGGCUGGGGAUGGGAGACGCACAUAUGCCCCCAGGCUAAGAUGGCCUUGAUCAUCAUAGGCUGACUGGUAGUGAGCUCCUGUCUGCUGAAAUGGAGCGAUCUUUUGGUCAUGUCCAGUGGGCACAGGAUGGUUGGACCAUUGUCGGUACAAAAGCUGACAGCUGGACACACGGACAUCAAGUUCAGCCCCUCCUGUGCGUGCGGAAUCAGGUAGACACGCUGUGACUCCUCUGUAGUCACGUGUCUGUUCUGAAGGUCACCAAGACACCCUCUUCUGUAGCAUCCAGCCAGACCCUGCACUGUCAUUAUCUCCACUGAGAUAAUCAGUCCUCAUCAGCUCACAUCCCUCAGAAGAUUUCAAGUCACCAUCAUAAAGACCCCACAUAGAUGACAGAACUCCAUCUGGCUGGUGAGCAGGGUGAAAAUCUGACAGUGCCGCCAGUAUCUGGUGGGCUCAGUCAGAGCCGAUGUUUGGGUGAGAACUCAUGGCGUCCAAAGAUGGUGGUGCUGCUCUUGGACAGAGCUAUAAAAACCACAUGUGCCAGGUAUCACCCCAGUCCUUCAGCUCU